rnacentral:sRNA from 1 species
UGUGAUGUGACGUAGUGGAAGUCUUUU